rnacentral:rRNA from 1 species
CCUACGGGUGGCAGCAGUGAGGAAUAUUGGUCAAUGGCCGGAAGGCUGAACCAGCCAUGCCGCGUGAAGGUCAGUUCCCUCUGGGCGUUCAACUUCUUUUUUGCUGGAUCAAUAAUGGUCCCUUUUGGCCAGACUAGAGUACCUUACGAAUAAUCAUCGGCUAACUCCGUUCCAGCAGCCGCGGUAAUACGGGGGAUGCCAACGUUAUCCGGAUUUUUUUGGUUUAAAGGGUGCGUAGGCUGUGAGGUAAUUCAGCGGUUAAAUGCUCCCGAUCAACGGGGUGAAGUGCCAUUGAUACUGCCUUGCUGGAAUGCGGAUGCGGUGGGAGGAAUGUGUGGUGUAGCGGUGAAAUGCAUAGAUAUCACACAGAACACCGAUUGCGAAGGCAUCCUACGAAUCCGUGAUUGACGCGGAUGCACGAAAGCGUGGGUAUCAAACAGGAUUAGAUACCCUGGUAGUC